rnacentral:rRNA from 1 species
GCACAGGUGCUGCAUGGCCGUCGUCAGCUCGUGCCGUGAGGUGUUGGGUUAAGUCCCGCGACGAGCGCAACCCUUGUCCUUAGUUGCCAGCAUUCAGUUGGGCACUCUAAGGAGACUGCCGGUGUCAAACCGGAGGAAGGUGGGGAUGACGUCAAGUCCUCAUGGCCCUUAUGUCCAGGGCUACACACGUGCUACAAUGGCCGGUACAAAGGGGCGCAAGACCGCGAGGUGGAGCAAAUCCCAAAAAACCGGUCUCAGUUCGGAUUGGAGUCUGCAACUCGACUCCAUGAAGUUGGAAUCGCUAGUAAUCGCGUAUCAGCAUGACGCGGUGAAUACGUUCCCGGGCCUU